rnacentral:lncRNA from 1 species
UCACACCAACACUUGCCUCACAUCCAAAUAUUCCACAUUUGAACAACUUGAAAUAAAAAAGCUCACACUCUCAUAAGCUGUAAAACCAAUUACAUACCAUAAAGAAUCCAACAUUCAACCCUCAAGCACAAACAUACACCAUAAUUCAAACCUCACAAACCCAAACUUCACUAACUAAAAUACACCAAUUCUCCAUAUCAUAUCAAUUUAACAUCAAACUCAUUACCAUCAAACAUAAACCAAAUCACAAUUCCAACAUAAGUCAUUACACAAACAACACAUAACCAUUAACAUCACCACAUUCUCAUUCAACAAAAUCAAAGAAAAAUCAAACCAACAACAUAACACAAAAAUAAUGAGAAAACAAAAUCAAAAUCAAUGGAGAUUCCGCCGGAAAAUCAACUUAAAACCGCGUCUCAAACGUCUCGUCGGAGAAGCCAUGAAUCGCCGUGGACCACCAUCGACGCCGCUCUGACCACCGCACGAGCCCCUCCAGAUCGCGUCGACCAAAGCUCUCUCCAAUGACGCCAACUUCAGUACCUCUUUUCUAUUUUUUUUAUUAUAUUUAUUUCUUUUACUUUUAUUUUUAUUUUAUAUUUUUUAAAUAAGUAAUUAUUAAAGUCCAAUUGGGGUUAAUAUAGGUUUGGGCCUUAGGCUAAUG